AGUUUAGUUGUCCUGAUAUCACCCGGAUCAGGUUUUCUAGAAGUGUGUAGAGACCAUUUCAGCUGUAAGGGACUGUGCCUGUGUGAUCCCUCUCUCCCUUUUCUGCUUGAGUGAGAGCCACCAAUGAUUGUCACAAUGGCUGCAUCUGGCUCACAGAUAACAACCUUUAUGAAACCAAGAUUUUGUUUUAUUAAACAAUUUUUCUGAGGAAACUGUAUAUCUGCUUUGAAAUGCUUAGAAGCCUCAUUUCCAAGGAAGACAACCUUGUGCAGAUGGCCAAUGUCCAGAACAAUGUGGAUGGCAGAACUGACCUCAGAUAAAGGGAUCUGUGGUAACAUGCAGAAACGAUGCUGGAAGGUUGAGAUUCAUCUUAAGAUGAGAUAGAUAAGAAUUACGCAUCUACAUUAAAUCCUUAGCUCCUCCUGUCAUCAGUGGAAAGAGCUGGAGGCUCUGGAGAGUAAUUCAUCUCAGCUGUCCUUGACAUAUGU